UUUUAAAUUGCUGUGGUAUUUUGACUAUACAAAGGUAUUGUAAUAAGAUUUUAAUUGAAUGCUAAAAGAAUGGAAUUUCAGAGAAAAACUUUUUUAAAUUUAAAAAUUAAAAUUAUUUUAAUUUGUGAAGAAACAAUUAUAAAAAUUAAUGACAAGAAGACCCUAAGAAUUUUGUAAAUUAUACAACAAUAUAUAUUGUUGUAUAAUUUAUUGGUUGGGGCAACCAAAAAAUAUUUUUAACUUUUUUAUUAUAAAAUGACCCAUUAUUAAUGAUUAUAUGACAAAAUACUCUAGGGAUAACAGCGUAAUAAUUUUUGAUAGAUCAUAUAGACAAAAUAGUUUGCGACCUCGAUGUUGGAUUAGGAUACUUUUUUAAUGAAGAUGUAAAAAAAGAAGUUGUCAACU
rnacentral:rRNA from 1 species